UGGGCUUGACAUGCGCCAGACAUCCCUAGAGAUAGGGCUUCCCUUGUGGUUGGUGUACAGGUGGUGCAUGGCUGUCGUCAGCUCGUGUCGUGAGAUGUUGGGUUAAGUCCCGCAACGAGCGCAACCCUUAUCCUAUGUUGCCAGCGGUUCGGCCGGGGACUCGUGGGAGACUGCCGGGGUCAACUCGGAGGAAGGUGGGGAUGACGUGUGCGUAACAGAA
rnacentral:misc_RNA from 1 species